rnacentral:rRNA from 1 species
AUGAGACUGCAUAUGGGGCAAGUCAGUCUGCUGAGGUGGGUAAAUAAUGCGACGAUUACUGGUUGGCAACCUCUGUGGAGCUAUCCCUCCAGCUGCAAAAUCAGUGCUUUCUAUUGCGGCGCAUUCAGUGCUUGCACAAGCGCAGGAACAUGUGCGUGCAUUGAUGGUUUCAGACCAAGUGAUCCAGAUGAAUGGAGGCUUGGGCAAUUUGUUAGCGGCUGCUCUAGAGUAAUACCCUCAGAUUGCGAAGACGGCAUCUCCACCGACUCGUUUGUUUUGUUAGACAACCUGCAAGGCCUUCCUGCCAACCCUCAAGAUACAAGCGAAGAAACUAGUGAAGACUGUGAAGCAACCUGUCUGAGCCAAUGCUAUUGCGUCGCAUAUUCCUAUGAUCUCUCUGGAUGCAAGAUAUGGUAUAAUGUGUUGCUUAAUUUGACUUUUGGAAAUGGUACCAUUCACCACACCAAGAUUUCCAUGCGUAUAGGUUCUCAUGGUAAAAGGCGGCAAGGACACAUACAGCAUGUCAUGUUGGUUAUUGGUCCAAUAGUUGUUGGUCUUCUUAUCAUGCUGGUGAUUUUCUGGCUGUACAAGAUAUCUUCAAGACAGACUAAAGUGGAUGGUUUUCUUGCUGUUUACACCUAUACGCAGCUCAAGAGAGCCACAAGAAAUUUCUCUGACAAACUCGGCGAAGGAGGCUUUGGAAGUGUAUUCAAGGGAACAGUUGCAGGUCCAACUGAUGUAGCCGUGAAGGAGCUUAAAAGCUUCGGGCACAGAGAUAAGCAAUUCCGAGCAGAAGUACAGACUCUUGGGCUGAUUCAACACACCAAUCUUGUGCGCCUGUUCGGAUUCUGCAGCGAAGGGACCAGAAGGCUGCUGGUCUAUGAGUAUAUGGCAAAUGGUUCCUUGAAUUCUCAUCUCUUUUCAGAGGGAACAAGCAUAUUGAGCUGGAAUCUUCGCCGUCGCAUUGCCAUUGGUGUGGGUAAAGGUCUUUCCUAUCUGCACGAGGAAUGCAGGGACUGCAUCAUACACUGCGACAUCAAGCCCGAGAACAUACUACUGGAUGCUGAAUUCUGCCACAAAAUCGCAGAUUUUGGCAUGGCGAAGCUUCUCGGACGGGACAUGAGCACGGCACUGACCACCCUCCGUGGAACCAUCGGCUAUCUCGCACCGGAGUGGGUGUAUGGUCAGCCUAUCACUCACAAGGCAGAUGUCUACAGCUUUGGUGUUGUGCUCCUCGAAUUGAUCUCCGGGAGGAGGGCUACCGGGAAUGGAAAUCAUCGGUACUUCCCCCUUUAUGCUGCAGCUAAGGUGAACGAAGGAGAUGUCUUGUGCUUGCUCGAUGGCCGGCUACGAGGAGAUGGCAAUGAAAAAGAGCUGGAUGUUGCCUGUAGGGUUGCUUGCUGGUGCAUCCAGGAUGAUGAGAUCCACAGGCCAUCAAUGGGGCAAGCUGUACGCAUGCUGGAAGGCGCCGUUGACGUUGAGUUGCCUCCAAUUCCAACUUCAUUUCAGAACAUUAUGGACGGGGGCGACAGUGGCACAUAUUCUGCAGAAGUGUGA